rnacentral:rRNA from 1 species
UUAAAGGAAUUGACGGAAGGGCACCACCAGGAGUGGAGCCUGCGGCUUAAUUCGACUCAACACGGGAAAACUCACCCGGCCCGGACACUGGAAGGAUUGACAGAUUGAGAGCUCUUUCUUGAUUCGGUGGGUGGUGGUGCAUGGCCGUUCUUAGUUGGUGGAGCGAUUUGUCUGGUUAAUUCCGAUAACGAACAAGACUCAAACCUACUAACUAGACGAUCGAUUUGGGCGAGCUGUUUCCUUCCUUCGUGUUGGAGCGGCACUGCCUCCGUUGGUCGAUAACUUCUUAGAGGAACAAGCGGCGCUCAGCCGCACGAGAUUGAGCAAUAACAGGUCUGUGAUGCCCUUAGAUGUCCGGGGCCGCACGCGCGCUACACUGAAGGAAUCAGCGUGUGUCCUUCCCUGGUCCGGCAGGACGGGGUAACCAGCUGAACCUCCUUCGUGGUAGGGAUCGGGGUUUGCAAUUGUUCCCCGUGAACGAGGAAUUCCUAGUAAGCGCGAGUCAUAAGCUCGCGUUGACUACGUCCCUGCCCUUUGUACACACCGCCCGUCGCUACUACCGAUUGAAUGAUUUAGUGAGGUCUUCGGACUGGCAGUCGCGGCGGCCAUCCAAGGUCGCGGCAACGCGUCGGGAAGAUGACCGAACUUGACCAUUUAGAGGAAGUAAAAGUCGUAACAAGGUUUCC